rnacentral:rRNA from 1 species
GACUCUCGGCAACGGAUAUCUCGGCUCAUGCAUCGAUGAAGAACGUAGCAGAAUGCGAUACUUGGUGUGAAUUGCAGAAUCCCGUGAACCAUCGAGUUUUUGAACGCAAGUUGCGCCCAAAGCCUUUCGGCCGAGGGCACGUCUGCCUGGGUGUCACAC